GGAGCGGAAACUAAGAGCGUAUGGUGGAUGCCUAGGCUUGAAAUGACGAUGAAGGACGUGGCGUGACUGCGAUAAGCGUCGGGGAGGUGUCGAGCAACCUUUGAUCCGGCGAUUUCCGAAUGAGGAAACUCAUCCCGAGUCAUGUCGGGAUACUCCGGUGUAAUAACCGCGAGAGUGCACCCAGGGAAGUGAAACAUCUCAGUACCUGGAGGAAAAGAAAACAAUAUUCAGUUUCAAGUUUAUAAGUUUAUUAGUUCAGAAGUUAAAAACUUUGAAACUUAAGGCCAUUUGUGGCCGGAACUUAUAAACUUGCUAACUGAUUCAUUCCCUUAGUAGCGGCGAGCGAAAAGGGAUCAGCCCAAACCUUCCGUGCACGGCACAGAGGUUUAAAUAUUUAAAUAUUUAAAUUUCCGCGCUGUGCGCGGCGGGGGUUGUAAGAUUUAGACGCCGGGGCAUCAAGCAUUUUUUUCGGAAACGUAAAAAAAUGCUUGAUAGUUCUGGAGGGAGCAAAUAAAAAUAUGAACUGUCUAUUUGAACGGCUCUGGAAAGGCCGGCCAAAGAGGGUAAUAGCCCCGUAAGAAAAAGAUUUCAUAUGCUCCUUGUCUUUUUUCUUGAGUACUUCGAACAACGAAUGGUUCGGAGGAAACAGGGAGAACUACUCUCCCAAGGCUAAAUACAUUUCAAGACCGAUAGUGAACUAGUACCGUGAGGGAAAGGUGAAAAGCAGCCCGGUGAGGGCGAUGAAAUAGUACCUGAAACCAUAUGCUUACAAGGAAUCGGAGCUUGUGCUUCGCACAGAGUGCGAAGCCGAAUUCAAAAUUCAAAGAUCAAAAUUCAAAAUUAAGGUGUCGCUGCGCGACGAUUUUAAAAUCAUGAGCAGAGCGAAUACCAAAAUUUUAAUUUCUGCAUUUUAAGUUUUGCAUUCCGCGCGAAGCGCGAGUGACGGUGUGCCUAUUGAAGAAUGAGCCAACGAGUUACGGUGUAUUGCUUGUUUAAUCCGCCUAGGCGGAGAAAGCUUAGGGAAACCGAGUCUGAAAGGGCGAACACAGUUUUUAGUUUUUGGUUUCAGUCGCGCAAGCGACCUUAUGGUUUGGGUUUUUUAGUUUCUAGUUUUGGGAAACUUAAACUAAUAACUGAUAACUAAGACUAUGAACCAUUAACUAAGAACUGUAGGCAGUACAUCAUAGACCCGAAGCCAGGUGAGCUACCCUUGACCAGGGCGAAUGCCGUCGAAAGACGACAGGAGGCCCGAACCGUUUAGCCGUGCAAAACUAUCGGAUGAGUUGAGGGUAGGAGUGAAAAGCUAAUCGAACCUGGGAAUAGCUGGUUCUCUCCGAAAUAGCUUUAGGGCUAGCGGCGAAGGUAACGCGUGGAGGUAGAGCACUGGAAGGUGUGUAAAGGGAGAAAUCUCGACACACCUAUCAAACUCCGAAUGCCAUGCCGGAAACUUCGCUAGUCAGACUACGGGGGCUAAGCUCCGUCGGUCAAAAGGGAAAGAGCCCGGAUCUCAAUCUAAGGCCCCUAAAUUGUGUCUAAGUGUUAGUGAGGUGGUGAGGUUUUUUUGACAGCGAGGAGGUUGGCUUAGAAGCAGCCAUCCUUUAAAAAGUGCGUAACAGCUUACUCGUUAAAAGACCUUGCGCCGCAGAUGAUCGGGACUAAGACACAUGCCGAAGGUGAGGAAUUGGUGCUUGAAUUUUGGAUUAAAAUUUGUUCGUUGGAGGUGAAUAUGUUCUUUGCUGAUGAGCAACUCACGCGUUAUACGCUCCAGACCAAUAUUAUGGUCAUUGUCCAGAGAAAAUUUAGAGAGCACGGUAUUGGGUGGAGUGAAGUCCCGAGCGAUUUACUUCACGAACUUGAGUAUACUGCUGGAAGAUUUUCCAGGAGUUUCUCGAAGAAACUCGUGAGAUCAACUACAAAGGCGCAAAGAAGAAAAAGUGCGCUAUCGUGGGGACCAUAAGUCUCCCCUCCAAAAUUCAAGCACCAAUUGGUAGGAGAGCGUUUUAAUUGCAGUGAAGUCCACGGUGUGAACCGGGAUGGAGCGAUUAGAAGUGAGAAUGUUGGCACAAGUAACCGCAAUUUGGGUGAAAUACCCAAACGCCGCAAACCCAAGGUUUCCUUGGCAAUGGUUAUCAGCCAAGGGUUAGUCGGUCCUAAGGCAAUGGCGAGAGCCGCAGCUAAUGGACACACGGUUAAUAUUCCGUGACCGGUGAAAAAUGCGAUGGGGUGACGAAGGAAAAAAAGUGGAGCGUAUUAUGGAUUUACGUUCGUGGCUCGAGAAGUGGACCGAGGAAAAUCCCGGUCCGGGCACUUUAAUGUGCAGACUUCGUGUGCAGCGAAAAUUUCUAGCUUCGGCUUGGAAAAUUUCACAAAAGAGCCUUCCCAGAAAAACCUCUAAGCUUAAUUUUUCGCCGACCGUACCGUAAACCGACACAGGUGGGCGAGGCGAGUAGCCUCAGGCGAACGAGUGAGUGCUCCUCAAGGAACUCGGCAAAAAAGCGGUCGUAACUUCGGGAUAAGACCUCCCCUUUCUAUCGAAAGAUGGGCGGGGGCGCAGUGAAAGUACCCCUGGCGACUGUUUAACAAAAACACAGCUCCCUGCGAACUCGUAAGAGGAUGUAUAGGGGGUGACACCUGACCAAUGCGAGAAGGUUAACGAUGGCGGUGUGCGCAGCACGUAGUUUGUAAGUUUUUAAGUUGAGUAAGUUUUUAAGUUUUUUAACUUAUUAACUUUAAGGCGCGAAGCGCUGAAACUUAUAACUUGUAACUUGCGUGCUGUGCAUGCUGACUGUCCGAAGCCCUCGUCAAUGUCGGCCGUAACUAUAGAAAUUUGUCCGUUGUAGUUACGUUAAAAAAUCUUGCUAUAUGCGGGAAACUCUGGUGAAUUCAUGGCUACUCUUCACGAUCGAGUGGAAGUAACAAUGCUAUGAUGCAGACAAUCCGCAGGAAACUUCCUUGGAAUUAAAUUCCAUGAGUGAUUGGAUAAAAAACAUUGAUCCAAAAUUCGGUUAUUAUAUAGCCGGAUUUACAGACGGAGAAGGCAGUUUCAACGUCUCAGUCAAGAAAAGAAAAGAUUAUGUUGAUCAAUGGAAAAUUACAGCCUGUUUCAAUAUUUCUCAAAAAGAUCGAGUGAUUCUAGCAAAAAUCAAAGAUGUGCUGGGAUGCGGGUCUUUGAGAGAAAGACUGGAUGGCGUUGUAUAUUAUGAAGUGACCAACUUAAGGUCACUUCAAGAAAAAAUUAUUCCUUUCUUUGAGCGGUUUGGAUUUCUAUCCGCCAAUAAAAAAAGAAAUUUCUCAAUCUUCAAAAAAAUUGUUGAAGCGAUGUGGAAAAAUGAGCAUCUUACGAAAGAUGGCUUGCGAAGAAUUCUCCAAUUGCGCGAAACUCUUAACGAAGGUCGAGGUAGAAAACGUAAAUAUCAAUUAAUAGAUGUUUACAAGGAAGACUCCCCAGAGACUAUACGCAAGACUUUGAUUGAUGAAUCAGAGAAGAUAUAGUCCGAUCUCAUGGGCGACCAUGAGCUAACAUAAAUAAACGGUCCUAAGGUGGAAUGCCUGCCUUAGUAAAAUCUUGCUAUAUCGGUGAACAUCCCAACGAUUCCGAGUGUUGGGACAAUACCGAGGGAAGUCGGUGCUAAUUUCUGGAAAAAAGAAAGGUGCGACGAGUGCCGCACCUUUUGGCGAAGGAAUCGGAGAGACUAUUUCAAGAGGGUCCUAAUAUCAGCCAUGUAUUUGCUUGCGACGAGGCCAACAUCUUUAACGUGUUCGGCGGCCUUGGUUCGCUUAAUGGUUUUUGUUAUCUCCCUUUCAUAAUCCUUCACUAAUUUCUUUAUUUUCUCGAGUUUUUCUUUAUCACUCAUAGGAACUCCUUUCGUUAUGAAAGUAGCAUAAGAAAGUGUUAUUGUCAAGCAUUUGCUUGACUCCAGAAAUUAGCAUCGACCCCGUAGAGACUACACGCAGGACUCCAGUCCCGGCAUCAAGCGGGACGGAGAAGAUAUAGUCCGAACUGCAUAGUAAUAUGCAGAGUUAGACAGAAAUGUUCUAACCAGAAUUUGGAGUGAGACAUUCUAGAUUCUCGUAACAAUUUUUGAGCGCAAUUCCUUGUCGGGUAAGUUCCGACGCGCACGAAAGGUGUAACGACUGGGGGACUGUCUCGAGGAGCAGCUCGGUGAAAAUGCGAUACCGGUGAAGAUGCCGGUUUGGUGCAGUUAGACGAAAAGACCCCGGAAGCUUUACUGCAGCUUGAUAUUGGGUAUACGUCUUUAAUGCGUAGCGUAGCGGGUAGGCUUUGAUGGUACGAUCUCGGUUGUACCGGAGCCGCCAAUGAAACACCCGUCUUUAAAAAUGUAUAUUCUAACCUCAACGGAAAAAAACGUUUGGGAACAGUGUCUGGCAGGCAGUUUGUGUGGGGCGCAACCCUCCUAAAAAGUAACGGAGGGGUUUAUCAAGGUCGGCUUAGCGCGGAUGGACAUCGCGCUGGACCUGUAAGAGGAAAAGCCGGCUUAACUGCGAGACGGACAUGUCGAGCAGGUGCGAAAGCAGAAUCUAGUGAUCCGACCGUAGGCAGUAGCUACUCCGGGGAUAACAGGCUAGUUCCGCCCAAGAGUCCAUAUCGACGGCGGAGUUCGGCACCUCGAUGUCGGCUCAUCUUAUCCUGGGGCUGGAGAAGGUCCCAAGGGUUUGGCUGUUCGCCAAUUAAAAAGGUACGUGAGCUGGGUUCAGACCGUUUAGAACAUGAAUCAUGAAUUAAGAAUUUUGAAUUAUGAAAUCGUGUUUUGAAUGGUCUGAAUCCAAGGUAAGUAAAAGACAUCAAUACACGGCGGCUUUAUAAAGUAAUUUAUAAAGACCAUGCUGACUAAUAUCGGUGAAAUCCGAAUCGAAUCCGCCAUUUGGCGGAGCGAAGGACAACACCGAGGGAAAAUUGUGUGCUUCAUUGAGGAAAAGUUUGUACGUUUUUGGUCGCGUAACUUAAAGUAGAGUACCCGACUGUCCAUCGGGGUGUCGAAGGCAUAACGAACCUUCCGCGACCACCAAAUUUUGAGGCAACUAUAGUUGCCUCUUCAAUGAAGUACAUGAUUACCCGUAGAGACUACACGUCAGCCUCCUUCACAACUUAGGACUUGUCCUGAGCGAAGUCGAAGGAUGAAGAUAUAGUCCAAUGCGCACAGUAAUGUGCGAGAAGCCGAUUGCAUUCAGGAGAUGCAAUCAGGUGAACAUGCGUGAGACAGGUUGGUCUCCUAUCUACUGCACCCGUUUGAUUCUUGAGGGGGGUUUUCUCUAGUACGAGAGGACCGAGAAGAGGUGACCUCUGGUUUACNNNNNNAGUGAUAAGCGCUGAAAGCAUCUAAGCGCGAAGCAUGCCCCAAGAUUAGGAAUCAUAGACCCGUGGGAGAUUACCACGUUGAUAGGCUCUAGGUGUAAGCGCCGCGAGGCGUUUAGCCGAGGAGUACUAAUCGGUCAUUUUUCCGCUCCGA
rnacentral:rRNA from 1 species